GCCUGGGUGGCUCAGUCGGUUGAGCGUCCGACUUCAGCUCAGGUCAUGAUCUCGCGGUCUGUGGGUUCGAGCCCCCUGUCGGGCU
rnacentral:tRNA from 1 species